GUCCUUGCUUCGGCAGGACAUAAAAAAUUGGACCAAUACAGAGAAUAUUAGCAUGACCCCUGCGCAAGUAUGAUGCAAAUUCAUUAAGCAUGCCAUCAUUUUUCU